GUUGAGAUGGCCGAGUUGGUCUAAGCUGUAGGUUUUGGUCCGAAAGGGCUUGGGUUGGAAUCCCACUCUCAGCA
rnacentral:tRNA from 1 species